rnacentral:rRNA from 1 species
UACGAAGGGGGCUAGCGUUGCUCGGAAUUACUGGGCGUAAAGGGCGCGUAGGCGGGAUGGCAAGUCGGUCGUGAAAUCCCUCGGCUCAACCGAGGAACGUCGAUCGAUACUGCUGUUCUUGAGGAUUGCAGAGGAGACUGGAAUUCCCGGUGUAGCGGUGAAAUGUGUAGAGAUCGGGAGGAACACCGGUGGCGAAGGCGGGUCUCUGGGCAAUUCCUGACGCUGAGGCGCGAAAGCGUGGGGAGCAAACGGG